rnacentral:rRNA from 1 species
UACGAAGGGGGCUAGCGUUGCUCGGAAUGACUGGGCGUAAAGGGCGCGUAGGCGGCGAUCAAAGUCAGGCGUGAAAUUCCUGGGCUCAACCUGGGGGCUGCGCUUGAUACUUGGUUGCUUGAGUGGGGAAGAGGGUCGUGGAAUUCCCAGUGUAGAGGUGAAAUUCGUAGAUAUUGGGAAGAACACCGGUGGCGAAGGCGGCGACCUGGUCCUGUACUGACGCUGAGGAGCGAAAGCGUGGGGAGCGAACAGG